rnacentral:rRNA from 1 species
UGGGGAAUUUUGGACAAUGGGCGAAAGCCUGAUCCAGCCAUGCCGCGUGCAGGAUGAAGGCCUUCGGGUUGUAAACUGCUUUUGUACGGAACGAAAAGACUCCUUCUAAUAAAGGGGGUCCAUGACGGUACCGUAAGAAUAAGCACCGGCUAACUACGUGCC